GAUGAACGCUAGCUACAGGCUUAACACAUGCAAGUCGAGGGGCAUCAGUUUGGUUUGCUUGCAAACCAAAGCUGGCGACCGGCGCACGGGUGAGUAACACGUAUCCAACCCGCCUCAUACUCGGGGAUAGCCUUUCGAAAGAAAGAUUAAUAUCCGAUAGCAUAUAUUUCCCGCAUGGGUUUUAUAUUAAAGAAAUUCGGUAUGAGAUGGGGAUGCGUUCCAUUAGUUUGUUGGGGGGGUAACGGCCCACCAAGACUACGAUGGAUAGGGGUUCUGAGAGGAAGGUCCCCCACAUUGGAACUGAGACACGGUCCAAACUCCUACGGGAGGCAGCAGUGAGGAAUAUUGGUCAAUGGACGCGAGUCUGAACCAGCCAAGUAGCGUGAAGGAUGACUGCCCUAUGGGUUGUAAACUUCUUUUAUAUGGGAAUAAAGUUGUCCACGUGUGGAUUUUUGUAUGUACCAUAUGAAUAAGGAUCGGCUAACUCCGUGCCAGCAGCCGCGGUAAUACGGAGGAUCCGAGCGUUAUCCGGAUUUAUUGGGUUUAAAGGGAGCGUAGGCGGAUUGUUAAGUCAGUUGUGAAAGUUUGCGGCUCAACCGUAAAAUUGCAGUUGAUACUGGCAGUCUUGAGUGCAGUAGAGGUGGGCGGAAUUCGUGGUGUAGCGGUGAAAUGCUUAGAUAUCACGAAGAACUCCGAUUGCGAAGGCAGCUCACUGGAGUGUAACUGACGCUGAUGCUCGAAAGUGUGGGUAUCAAACAGG
rnacentral:rRNA from 1 species